ACUCACCAACUAGAUAAGAUGUGAGGCAAAGGUUGGUUAUGGUGUCCAGAAAUUGUUAAUGUGGCUGAAUUGAGAUACACAUUAUGCUUCCAUCACACUAAAUAUACCGUACUGGUGACAAUGAGACCUGCAACAUUU